UACGUAGGGGGCAAGCGUUGUCCGGAAUCAUUGGGCGUAAAGCGCGUGUAGGCGGUCCGGUAAGUCCGCUGUGAAAGUCGGGGGCUCAACCCUCGGAUGCCGGUGGAUACUGUCGGGCUUGAGUACGGAAGAGGCGAGUGGAAUUCCUGGUGUAGCGGUGAAAUGCGCAGAUAUCAGGAGGAACACCAACUGCGAAGGCAGCUCGCUGGGACGUUACUGACGCUGAGACGCGAAAGCGUGGGGAGCAAACAGG
rnacentral:rRNA from 1 species